rnacentral:rRNA from 1 species
GACGAACGCUGGCGGCGUGCUUAACACAUGCAAGUUGAACGGGCAUACAUGGAAGCUUGCUGAAGUGUAUGUUAGUAGCGGACGGGUGAGUAAUGCAUGAGAAGCUGCCAUUGGGAGGGGGACAACAGUUGGAAACGGCUGCUAAUACCCCGUAUGCCGAAAGGUAAAAGGGAGCAAUCCGCCUGAUGAGGUGCCCAUGUCCUAUCAGCUGGUUGGUGGGGUAACGGCCUACCAAGGCGACGACGGGUAGCCGGCCUGAGAGGGUGAACGGCCACACUGGAACUGAGAUACGGUCCAGACUCCUACGGGAGGCAGCAGUGGGGAAUAUUGGGCAAUGGGGGAAACCCUGACCCAGCGACGCCGCGUGAGGGAAGACGGCCUUCGGGUUGUAAACCGUCUUUUGUUACGGGUAAGAAGGAAGGUAGACGGUACUGUACGAAUAAGUACCGGCGUAACUACGUG